GAUGAACGCUGGCGGCGUGCCUAAUACAUGCAAGUCGAGCGAACAGAUGAGGAGCUUGCUCCUCUGACGUUAGCGGCGGACGGGUGAGUAACACGUGGAUAACCUACCUAUAAGACUGGGAUAACUUCGGGAAACCGGAGCUAAUACCGGAUAAUAUAUUGAACCGCAUGGUUCAAUAGUGAAAGACGGUUUUGCUGUCACUUAUAGAUGGAUCCGCGCCGCAUUAGCUAGUUGGUAGGUAACGGCUUACCAAGGCGACGAUGCGUAGCCGACCUGAGAGGGUGAUCGGCCACACUGGAACUGAGACACGGUCCAGACUCCUACGGGAGGCAGCAGUAGGGAAUCUUCCGCAAUGGGCGAAAGCCUGACGGAGCAACGCCGCGUGAGUGAUGAAGGUCUUCGGAUCGUAAAACUCUGUUAUUAGGGAAGAACAAAUGUGUAAGUAACUAUGCACGUCUUGACGGUACCUAAUCAGAAAGCCACGGCUAACUAC
rnacentral:rRNA from 1 species